rnacentral:rRNA from 1 species
CGCGUAGGCGGUUUGGUCAGUCAGAUGUGAAAGCCCCGGGCUCAACCUGGGAACUGCAUUUGAUACUGCUGAACUAGAGUGUGGUAGAGGGAAGUGGAAUUCCGGGUGUAGCGGUGAAAUGCGUAGAGAUCCGGAGGAACAUCAGUGGCGAAGGCGGCUUCCUGGACCAACACUGACGCUGAGGUGCGAAAGCGGUGGGUAGCAAACA